rnacentral:lncRNA from 1 species
GGGGGUUCAGAGAGGCGCCACACAAGGUUGGAAGUCGGAAAAGCCCUGGAAGGGUCGGUCUUUUACGAACUUAGAUCGGGGGGUAUUUUAUACCCAACACCAGUCGGCUGAUAGCAAGGCCUAGAGAGCCUUUGGAGCGGCCCGGUAGAUGGAUGGAGAAGCUCAUUGUUGGAGAAGUCUAGAAGCUUGGACAGUCGAGGGGGUUCAGAGAGACACCACACA